GAGCUAUGAUGAUUUCAGCGCUCGAUGAUGGAAGGGGUCCAUCAAGUUCGUCAGAAUUUCAGAUGAAAUCAAGCGCAACUGAGCUC